AGAGUUUGAUCAUGGCUCAGGACGAACGCUGGCGGCGUGCUUAAUACAUGCAAGUCGAACGGGGUCCAACCGGUGGCAACACCGGGGAAGACCUAGUGGCGAACGAGUGAGUAACACGUGAGCAACCUGCCCCGAAGACCGGGAUAACACCGGGAAACUGGUGCUAAUACCGGAUACCCCCACCGGGCCGCAUGACCUGGUGAGGAAAUGAAUUUCGCUUUGGGAGGGGCUCGCGGGCUAUCAGCUUGUUGGUGAGGUAACGGCUCACCAAGGCAGCGACGGCUAGCUGGUCUGAGAGGACGACCAGCCACACUGGGACUGAGACACGGCCCAGACUCCUACGGGAGGCAGCAGUAGGGAAUCUUGCGCAAUGGGCGAAAGCCUGACGCAGCAACGCCGCGUGGGGGAUGAAGGCUCUCGGGUUGUAAACCCCUUUCAGCAGGGACGAAAUUGACGGUACCUGCAGAAGAAGCCCCGGCCAACUACGUGCCAGCAGCCGCGGUAAUACGUAGGGGGCGAGCGUUGUCCGGAUUCAUUGGGCGUAAAGAGCUCGUAGGCGGCUUGGCAAGUCGGAUGUGAAAACUCCAGGCUCAACCUGGAGCCGCCAUUCGAUACUGCCAUGGCUAGAGUCCGGUAGGGGGAGUGUGGAAUUCCCGGUGUAGCGGUGAAAUGCGCAGAUAUCGGGAGGAACACCGAUGGCGAAGGCAGCACUCUGGGCCGGCACUGACGCUGAGGAGCGAAAGCGUGGGGAGCGAACAGGAUUAGAUACCCUAGUAGUCC
rnacentral:rRNA from 1 species